rnacentral:rRNA from 1 species
AGCAGCCGCGGUAAUUCCAGCUCCAAUAGCGUAUAUUAAAGUUGUUGCAGUUAAAAAGCUCGUAGUUGAAUUUCGGGAUCAAUAUAUCGGUCGUGCCUCUGGUACGUACUGGUAUCAUUGAUUUCUCCCUUCUGACGAACCAUGAUUUCAUUUAUUUGGUGUCAUGGGGAGUUAGGACUGUUACUUUGAAAAAAUUAGAGUGUUUAAAGCAGGCAUUAGCUUGAAUACAUUAGCAUGGAAUAAUGAAAUAGGACGUUUGACCCUAUUUUGUUGGUUUCUAGGAUCGACGUAAUGAUUAAUAGGGAUAGUUGGGGGCAUUAGUAUUCAAUUGUCAGAGGUGAAAUUCUUGGAUUUAUUGAAGACUAACUACUGCGAAAGCAUUUGCCAAGGAUGUUUUCAUUAAUCAAGAACGAAAGUUAGGGGAUCGAAGACGAUCAGAUACCGUCGUAGUCUUAACCAUAAACUAUGCCGACUAGGGAUCGGAUGAUGYUAAUUCUUUAAUGACUCA